rnacentral:rRNA from 1 species
AGAGUUUGAUCCUGGCUCAGGACGUACGCUGGCGGCGUGCCUAACACAUGCAAGUCGAACGGAGAUAUGAUUUCGGUUAUAUCUUAGUGGCGAACGGGUGAGUAACGCGUGAGCAACCUGACCUUCAGAGGGGGAUAACACUUGGAAACAGGUGCUAAUACCGCAUAAGACCACGACCCGACAUCGGGAUGCGGUCAAAGGAGCAAUCCGCUGAGGGAGGGGCUCGCGUCCCAUUAGAUAGAUGGCGGGUAACGGCCCACCAUGUCGACGAUGGGUAGCCGAGCUGAGAGGCUGAUCGGCCACACUGGAACUGAGACACGGUCCAGACUCCUACGGGAGGCAGCAGUGGGGAAUAUUGGGCAAUGGGCGCAAGCCUGACCCAGCAACGCCGCGUGAGGGAAGAAGGCCUUCGGGUUGUAAACCUCUGUCCUUGGUGACGAAACAAAUGACGGUAGCCAAGGAGGAAGCCCCGGCUAACUACGUG